CGCUGUCCUAUACCCUGCCCAAAGCAAGAAAGAAGCAAGGUCCCUACUCUACAAAAGAGAAGGGAGGGAAGAAAAGGAAGGAGGAGGGGGGGGGGGGCUCCCCUGGCUGCCCCGACCGGAAGGCAGGCGCCGGCGUCAUCCACUGCCGGCGUCACCCCGUCCAGGACGAAGAAAGCUUCGGCCUCCCCUUUUUUCCCGUACGGAGGAAGAAGAAGCCCCAGGACCGUCGGAUCUAGGGCGGACGGCUCCUCCCGGCCGUCGGAUCGGACCGCAUUAAGCUGAACCGGUACCGGGCCCUAACUAGGCCGCGGCCCCGUAAUGGCCCAGGAAGUCGGCCAAAAAAAAGAAGAAAAAAAAAGAGGAGGCGCGCCCGAGGGCGGCCCAGCUCGCGCGCAAGGCCAGCCCGAGGCGGCCCAGCUGGCCCAGGCGGCCAAUGAGGCUCGGGAAAAUUGCGAAAAAGCCCAAAAUCAUGGGGAAAUUGCCAAUAAGACCCUGAAAAUUUUGGGGAGGCCUGUAGGGCCCCUGAUUUUGCAAAAAAGUCCUCCGGGACACCGAACUUCUCGCAAAGAGGCCCCUGGGGUCCCGGUUUUGCUAAAAAUACCCUC
rnacentral:lncRNA from 1 species